GAUGAACGCUGGCGGCGUGCCUAAUACAUGCAAGUCGAACGAAUCUUCUUCGGAAGAUGAGUGGCGAACGGGUGAGUAAUACAUAGGUAACCUGCCCCUGUGCGGGGGAUAACAGGAGGAAACUCCUGCUAAUACCGCAUAGCCAUGAGCACCGCAUGGAGCUCAUGCCAAAUAUCCUUUAUGGGAUAGCGCAGGGAUGGACCUAUGGCGCAUUAGCUGGUUGGCGGGGCAACGGCCCACCAAGGCAACGAUGCGUAGCCGGCCUGAGAGGGGGGACGGCCACAUUGGGACUGAGACACGGCCCAGACUCCUACGGGAGGCAGCAGUAGGGAAUUUUCGGCAAUGGGGGAAACCCUGACCGAGCAACGCCGCGUGAGCGAAGAAGGCCUUCGGGUCGUGAAGCUCUGUUGUAAAGGAAGAACGGCGCAUACAGGAAAUGGUAUGCGAGUGACGGUACUUUACCAGAAAGCCACGGCUAACUACGUGCCAGCCGCCGCGGUAAAAC
rnacentral:rRNA from 1 species